UACGAAGGGGGCUAGCGUUGCUCGGAAUUACUGGGCGUAAAGGGCGCGUAGGCGGACAGUUUAGUCAGAGGUGAAAGCCCAGGGCUCAACCUUGGAAUUGCCUUUGAUACUGGCUGUCUUGAGUUCGGGAGAGGUGAGUGGAAUGCCGAGUGUAGAGGUGAAAUUCGUAGAUAUCGAGAGGAACACCGGUGGCGAAGGCGGCCAACUGGACAGAUACUGACGCUGAGACACGAAAGCGUGGGGAGCAAACAGG
rnacentral:rRNA from 1 species